UAAUAUUUGAGUUCAGCGAAGUCUCCUGAGUAAAACAGUACCCCCUAUGUACAGGUUUUAUGGUGUUUUGGAGAGUUACAGGGUCAAAUAUAGUGCUUGCGAAUUAAAUUCUCUGCACUUUCUCCCUGUGUUGUCAGGCAUGUCAAUCAAAUUUUAAUUAAUCAAAUCACAUAAUUAUGUUAAAAGAUUACUUAAAUAUACAUGUAGA